GCUAUGAUGAUCUGACAUUGAUUGCCUGAAAGUAAUUGCAUUUAAAAUUAUCCAAGUUAGCUAGGAGCUCCAGGUUGCAAAAUAAAUUUCUUAAAGCUGAGUCAUGCUUUUGCAUGGGUAUAAAUGCUUUAGCAUUUUUUGGAAAAAUCAACUUUUCUUUCAAAAAUAGCUUUCAAGUUUGAAAAUAAUAAUGAUAUCAACAAUAAUAUUUACAUCUAUUUACAUAAGAUUUAACAUGCUAUAUUGUGCCCGGAACAUUUUUU
rnacentral:lncRNA from 1 species